UACGUAGGGGGCAAGCGUUGUCCGGAUUUAUUGGGCGUAAAGCGCUCGCAGGCGGUCCGAUGCGUCGUGCGUGAAAGACCCCGGCUCAACUGGGGAGGGUCGUGCGAUACGGUCGGACUCGAGGCUAGUAGGGGGACGCGGAAUUCCGGGUGUAGUGGUGGAAUGCGUAGAGAUCCGGAGGAACACCAGUGGCGAAGGCGGCUCACUGGUCCGGUACUGACGCUGAGGUGCGAAAGCGUGGGGAGCAAACAGG
rnacentral:rRNA from 1 species